rnacentral:rRNA from 1 species
CCAAUCCCCACAGCCGCCUCCCUCCCACACCCUUCCUCCUCCUUCCUCGCUCGUCAGCCGCCACAGCUGCCGCACUCCUCCAUCUCUUUCCUCCCGCGUCCUCCUGCGUGGGACGCCGCUAGGCUCCUCCCUCUCUCGUCCCAGCCUGACGCAGGCGGAUCCAUGGGUAGAAGAGAGGAAUAAGGGAGGUAGAGGAACGACGGGGAAGGGGAUGGGCAAGAGCUUCAUGCCCCGAAUCCAGUUGGCCCGGGCCGUGCCUACAUGAGCAGCGCCGCGGCUCGAUGCUUCCCCACCCGACGAAGACGGCAAGCUAGGUGUUGACAAUGGCAGCCCCAGGCCAUCUGAUCUGUCACCGGUGCCGUUCUUUUGGUCGAGACCGCCGUCGUCCACGUGCUCCUCCUCACCCCCACGGCUGGACGCUGGCGAGGCCAGCCUCCCCUCCAAGCGCAGGUACUUCCCCGCUCCUUUCCGUGUUCUCUCUCUCUUCCCCUGAUAUAUCUCUCUGUUGUACACGGAAGCAAAUUUGUUCAAUUCUCAGUCUAGAUUUAAUGAAGAAAACUGCGGUUCAUAAAACGCCAAUUAUGGAUAUGGAUCCAUCUUGCUGCGCUGGAUGAAGGGCUGGAUAUGGAUCCAUCUUGCUGAUUUGGAAGAAAACUGCAGUUCAUACAAUGCUAAUUAUGGAUAUGGAUCCAUCUAAUACAGUUCUUCACAAAGCCCAGGAAUCGCAAGGGUUCAAUUGCUUUCGGGGUCGUACUUUUCUUGGUCCUUAUUGGUUGGCCUGUCUUCGGCAUGAUGGCGGACUCGUAUGGCUUUGCCCUGCUAUUCUGGUUAUCCUCUAUUGUGCAUUAAUAUGAUCAUCUGAUGUCUGUUUUUCAGUGUGCAUUAAGAAAUGGUAGAAACUUUUGGGUAUUGUAUCUGACUGGUACUGAAUUUCCUCACAACAGCUUCUAGCCCGCUGCUGCU